AUUGAACGCUGGCGGCAGGCCUAACACAUGCAAGUCGAGCGGAUGAAGGGAGCUUGCUCUCUGAUUCAGCGGCGGACGGGUGAGUAAUGCCUAGAAAUCUGCCUGGUAGUGGGGGACAACGUUUCGAAAGGAACGCUAAUACCGCAUACGUCCUACGGGAGAAAGCAGGGGACCUUCGGGCCUUGCGCUAUCAGAUGAGCCUAGGUCGGAUUAGCUAGUAGGUGAGGUAAUGGCUCACCUAGGCGACGAUCCGUAACUGGUCUGAGAGGAUGAUCAGUCACACUGGAACUGAGACACGGUCCAGACUCCUACGGGAGGCAGCAGUGGGGAAUAUUGGACAAUGGGCGAAAGCCUGAUCCAGCCAUGCCGCGUGUGUGAAGAAGGUCUUCGGAUUGUAAAGCACUUUAAGUUGGGAGGAAGGGCAGUAAGUUAAUACCUUGCUGUUUUGACGUUACCAACAGAAUAAGCACCGGCUAACUUCGUGCCAGCCGCCGCUGUAA
rnacentral:rRNA from 1 species